rnacentral:rRNA from 1 species
AUAGCCCGGCGAAAGCCGGAUUAAUACCGCAUACGAUCUACGGAUGAAAGCGGGGGACCUUCGGGCCUCGCGCUAUAGGGUUGGCCGAUGGCUGAUUAGCUAGUUGGUGGGGUAAAGGCCUACCAAGGCGACGAUCAGUAGCUGGUCUGAGAGGACGACCAGCCACACUGGGACUGAGACACGGCCCAGACUCCUACGGGAGGCAGCAGUGGGGAAUUUUGGACAAUGGGCGAAAGCCUGAUCCAGCAAUGCCGCGUGUGUGAAGAAGGCCUUCGGGUUGUAAAGCACUUUUGUCCGGAAAGAAAUCCUUGGCUCUAAUACAGUCGGGGGAUGACGGUACCGGAAGAAUAAGCACCGGCUAACUACGUGCCAGCAGCCGCGGUAAUACGUAGGGUGCAAGCGUUAAUCGGAAUUACUGGGCGUAAAGCGUGCGCAGGCGGUUUGCUAAGACCGAUGUGAAAUCCCCGGGCUCAACCUGGGAACUGCAUUGGUGACUGGCAGGCUAGAGUAUGGCAGAGGGGGGUAGAAUUCCACGUGUAGCAGUGAAAUGCGUAGAGAUGUGGAGGAAUACCGAAGGCGAAGGCAGCCCCCUGGGCCAAUACUGACGCUCAUGCACGAUAGCGUGGGAGCCAAACAGGAUUAGAUACCCCGGUAGUCCAAGCGCUAAACGAUGUCAACUAGGUGGUGGGGAUUCAUUUUCUUAGUAACGUAGCUAACGCGUGAAGUUGACCGCCUGGGGAGUACGGUCGCAAGACUAAAACUCAUAGGAUUUGACGGGUACCCGCACAAGCUGUGCAUGAUGUGCAAUAAUUCGAUGCGACGCGCAAAUACCUUACCCACCCUU